CAGGACUCUACAAAACACUGCAAAAACAUCAAAAUGAGAAAACAAGAGAAAAAAGUUAGCAUUCACAAGUCGUCUUAUUGAAACAUUUUUAAUUAAUUUUGAAGAUCCAAUUUAUCAGUACAUUGGUUAAAGCAAUUACCAGAUAGAAGUUGGUUGUCACAGUCUCCCAGCAAACGGUUAUGGAACGUGAAGUACAAAGGCUAAGCCAUCUCCUGAAAUAGAGAAUGAAUGUACAGUAAUGGAAGCUUAAGAACACUUGUCACUUGGAAUGUACAUCAGACAAUCUGUCAGCUGUGGAAGGAACCGUUUACUCUCUCCAAGGAGCAUGAACUUACAAUGAUAGGUGGAGACGGGCGCCUUCAUUAUGCAUUGUUAUUCUUGUUGUCUUUUAAUGUAUGCGUCUAAUCUACUGUUUUCUAAACCCAAGGAACUUCAAACUAUUCUUUAAAAUAAAUGUAUCGUAGCAGACAAAACACAAAGUAUUGCACUGCACCUACACAAGUAGUCAUUUCACUUUCACCAAAAGGGCACUUAUGUGUGCUACUACAGUGCCGAUUAUGUACCAAAUUUCUAAUGUGGUAGAUCAGCUUCUUAAAACCAGUCAAAUAGAGACAGGAUAGCAGUUAG